rnacentral:rRNA from 1 species
AUUGAACGCUGGCGGCAUGCCUUACACAUGCAAGUCGAACGGUAACAGGUCUUCGGCUGCUGCCGAGUGGCGAACGGGUGAGUAAUACAUCGGAACGUGCCCGAUCGUGGGGGAUAACGGAGCGAAAGCUUUGCUAAUACCGCAUACGAUCUACGGAUGAAAGCAGGGGACCGCAAGGCCUUGCGCGGACGGAGCGGCCGAUGGCAGAUUAGGUAGUUGGUGGGAUAAAAGCUUACCAAGCCGACGAUCUGUAGCUGGUCUGAGAGGACGACCAGCCACACUGGGACUGAGACACGGCCCAGACUCCUACGGGAGGCAGCAGUGGGGAAUUUUGGACAAUGGGCGAAAGCCUGAUCCAGCCAUGCCGCGUGCAGGAUGAAGGCCUUCGGGUUGUAAACUGCUUUUGUACGGAACGAAAAGACUCUUUCUAAUAAAGAGGGUCCAUGACGGUACCGUAAGAAUAAGCACCGGCUAACUACGUG